UACGUAGGGUGCAAGCGUUGUCCGGAAUUAUUGGGCGUAAAGAGCUCGUAGGCGGUCUGUCGCGUCGGCUGUGAAAACCCGGGGCUCAACCCCGGGCCUGCAGUCGAUACGGGCAGACUAGAGUGCGGUAGGGGAGACUGGAAUUCCUGGUGUAGCGGUGAAAUGCGCAGAUAUCAAGUGGAACACCAGUGGCGAAGGCGAGUCUCUGGACAUUUCCUGACGCUGAGGCACGAAAGCCAGGGGAGCAAACGGG
rnacentral:rRNA from 1 species